CACAGCGUAAAUUAAAUUAGACAUUAGAGACGCGUGUUUGAUGUGAGUCUGAUGUCGUGUUGUGUGUUCGCCUUCGGACGCGUGUGUUCGCAACGUGUGGGUUGUGGGUGAUUUGUGAUUUGUUGAAUCUGUUGAUUUUGAUUUAGCGCUCGCCGCGUGUCAAGAAUGCGAUCGUGUGCGUCCUCAAGGCGGCGAUACGUCUUCUAAUCACUGCUCAAUGUUUGAAAAUCUCCAAAUCGAAGGAAAUUCACAGCGGUCGGUGAUUAAUUAUAGCUGCGAUUAAUGAAAUGAUUUGUAAAACAAACAAAAUGUCGAAAUUUACAUGCGAUUUCAUGUUUUGUCACACGCCAGGUGAUAAUUUAUUAAUUGUGAAAAGCCACACGUACAACACAUCGUUAAAAACCUAGUUUAUUGAUAUAGUUUUGCUUUGAGAGUUUGAAAUUCCCGCGCGUGGCUUUGCAAUGCAUUAUGGGUACUGUUUCACAAAUCCUAACCUCCAAAUAAGUAGUGUAUCGAAAUAGUCAAGUUUAGUUUGUUUCAACUGUGUGUGAAUGAAUUAUUUUGCGUUAUUACAAUCAGAUUAGUGAAAAACAUAAUCUACAAGGAAAAUCAGUGAUAUAUACCUAAUAAUGAAUUUUCACCGAACGUAGAGAAUCAAAGAAUCGUUAAAAGGAACUGUAAACACAAAAUAAGUAUUUGUAGAUAUUUAGUUGGUCCUAUA